ACGGCCCACCGAGGCGACGAUGCGUAGGGGUUCUGAGAGGAAGGUCCCCCACACUGGUACUGAGACACGGACCAGACUCCUACGGGAGGCAGCAGUGAGGAAUAUUGGUCAAUGGCCGGGAGGCUGAACCAGCCAAGUCGCGUGAGGGAAGACGGCCCUACGGGUUGUAAACCUCUUUUGUCAGGGAGCAAGAGGCGGGUCGAGACCUGCUGUGAGAGUACCUGAAGAAAAAGCAUCGGCUAACUCCGUGCCAGCAGCCGCGGUAAUACGGAGGAUGCGAGCGUUAUCCGGAUUUAUUGGGUUUAAAGGGUGCGCAGGCGGAGGCACAAGUCAGCGGUAAAAUCGCGGGGCUCAACCCCGCUCCGCCGUUGAAACUGUGUCCCUUGAGUGCGCGAAGGGUAGGCGGAAUGCGUGGUGUAGCGGUGAAAUGCAUGGAUAUCACGCAGAACUCCGAUCGCGAAGGCAGCCUACCGGCGCGCAACUGACGCUCAUGCACGAAAGCGUGGGUAUCGAACAGGAUUAGAUACCCUGGUAGUCCACGCAGUAAACGAUGAAUGCUAUCUGUCCGGCCGGAAUGACGGCUGG
rnacentral:rRNA from 1 species